UACGUAGGCAGCAAGCGUUGUUCGGAGUUACUGGGCGUAAAGAGUGCGUAGGUGGUUCUCUAAGUUCGGUGUGAAAUCUCCCGGCUCAACUGGGAGGGUGCGCCGAAAACUGGAGAGCUUGAGUGCGGGAGAGGAGAGCGGAAUUCCUGGUGUAGCGGUGAAAUGCGUAGAUAUCAGGAGGAACACCUGUGGUGCAGACGGCUCUCUGGACCGCCACUGACACUGAGGCACGAAAGCGUGGGGAGCAAACAGG
rnacentral:rRNA from 1 species